UGCCAGAGCCAUAUCACCCUGCAGCCCAAGACUGGUUACUCACUGAAGCUAAGCAGGGCUGAGACUGGUCAGUACCCGGAUGUUAGACCACAUGGGAAAAGUAGGUUGCUGUUGGAA
ensembl:rRNA 5S_rRNA 5S ribosomal RNA